UACAGAGGUCCCGAGCGUUGUUCGGAUUCAUUGGGCGUAAAGGGUGCGUAGGCGGUCUGCUAAGUUUGGUGUGAAAUCCCGGGGCUCAACCCUGGAAUUGCAUUGAAUACUGGUGGACUAGAGUACUGGAGAGGAAACUGGAAUUUACGGUGUAGCAGUGAAAUGCGUAGAUAUCUGGAGGAAUACCGGUGGCGAAGGCGGCAUCCUGGACCGACAUUGACGCUGAACGGCGAAAGCUAGGGGAGCAAACGGG
rnacentral:rRNA from 1 species